AGCGUCGUGCUGAGGCAGCGGCCGGAAGUUAGUUAAGGAGUCAGAGGGCGACGCGUUACGGUGAGAACAGGAACAAGCAGGAUGCCACCAGCUAUGAGGAGGACGUGGGGGCAGCCUGGCUCUGAGCCCCUGCGUGGCUGUGUCAUUGGCGGUCAGCUGAGACACUCCCAGGGGUCAGGUGAAGAGGAAGCCAAGGAAGACUUUGAUGGCCAAUACCGCCUUCCGGCCCCAGAGUCCAAGUCAGCAGAGGACAGGCCUGACAAGACCACUUACCUCUGACCCCUCUGGCUCUGGGUCCACAGAGGACGAGGCGGGAGGGAGCUGAACGGGACCGAUGUUCUGCACUGGGUCCCGCCGUGGGGGACGGCUGCAGCACACAGGGGUGGCUGAGUCACCACCAACUCUCAGCUCCGUGGAAAUGAGGGGAUGACAAUGAAGAUUUCAUAGAAGACUAGAAUUCACAGACAAGCAAGUGGAUGUUCUAAAACAGAAUCAUAAUAGCUGGAAUGAAAAUACAAGUAAGUAGAUUUUAUACCAGAUCAGAGGCAGCUGGAGAGAGGAUUUAGGGGCUGGAAGACAGCAGAAAGUAGCACUGUGUCUAGGGUCACUAGUGCACGUCUCAGAGACCAUGUGUCUUGUGUGCACCCCCGGCCUGGGAUAGGGGGAGGGGGGCUGCCAGGAAGGCUCUGUGCUUGGCUGAGAUGACUGCAGCUUUGGGAGGGGGGAUGUGGGACACUUUAUGGACAUCCUGGUGAAAGGUCAUACCAGCAUUUGGGAGGCCAUUUUCAGGCCCUGGGAAGUAGGACUUUGUGAGGAGGGUCUUUCAGGGCCUCCCUGUACCCUUGGGAGCCCAAAUCUCACAUGUCCCCCAUUUAGAAUGCCCCUGGGACUCCGUUUCAUCUGCUCCUCUCCUGGCAGCAGAGUGCAGAGGAGGAGUUUGGGGGUGGGGAGCCGGGCCGGCCAAGAUAACCGGCAGAGGCCUCACUUGGUGCUCGCUGCUCUGUGGGCAGAGCUCUGGGGUUGGACUGAGUUUGGAAUGAGGGAUCUGUUGUGCUGAGGAAUUUUCCAUCCUGGCUAAUGGUUUCUUUAGGCCAAGUCACAAGCUAGCUCCAGCACACAGAACUGGGUGCUGACUGACAGGACCCUCCCGGCCAGGCCAGGUCAACUCAAAGACAUGGCCUUUUGCCUGGAGAGGCCCUCUGUCUGUGGGGUAGGAAGGCUCGUCCCCUUUGGGGUCUUGGCUAGAGUGUCCUCUGUUUGGAGAGGAUGAGGGGCUGCUGGAUUGCUCCCUGCUCUGCUAAUUGGGGUGGGGUGUUUUCCUGAACAAGCUGGCCGUGGUUUCUAGACUCUAGGAGCUCUUGUGGCCCGGAGGGCGUGGUGAAUGACCUGGGGCCUACAGGUGGGCAGAGGAGGUCUGCAGCCUUGAUGAGGCCAGCCCCACCAGGUGCGCCCUGGCCUUUGUCAGAAGGACGAGGAGGAACUGGUGACACAUUGUGAGCAGGGGCAACAGAGUUUGAUUUCAUAAAUUCUUGUGGUGUCUCAUGAGAAUAUGGGUUUCUGGA